rnacentral:rRNA from 1 species
UUGACCUCGGAUCAGGUAGGGAUACCCGCUGAACUUAAGCAUAUCAAUAAGCGGAGGAAAAGAAACCAACAGGGAUUGCCUCAGUAACGGCGAGUGAAGCGGCAACAGCUCAAAUUUGAAAUCUGGCUCUUUCAGGGUCCGAGUUGUAAUUUGUAGAAGAUGCUUUGGGUGUGGCUCCGGUCUAAGUUCCUUGGAACAGGACGUCAUAGAGGGUGAGAAUCCCGUAUGUGACUGGUUGCCUUCGCCCGUGUAAAGCUCUUUCGACGAGUCGAGUUGUUUGGGAAUGCAGCUCAAAAUGGGUGGUAAAUUUCAUCUAAAGCUAAAUAUUGGCCAGAGACCGAUAGCGCACAAGUAGAGUGAUCGAAAGAUGAAAAGCACUUUGGAAAGAGAGUUAAACAGUACGUGAAAUUGUUGAAAGGGAAGCGCUUGCAACCAGACUUGCACGCAGUUAAUCAUCUGGUGUUCUCACUGGUGCACUUUUCUGCGUUCAGGCCAGCAUCGGUUUAGGUGGUGGGAUAAAGGCCUUGGGAAUGUAGCUUCUUUCGGGGAGUGUUAUAGCCCUCGGCGCAAUGCCGCCUACCUGGACCGAGGACCGCGCUUCGGCUAGGAUGCUGGCGUAAUGGUUGUAAGCGACCCGUCUUGAAAA